rnacentral:rRNA from 1 species
GACGAACGCUGGCGGCGUGCUUAACACAUGCAAGUCGAACGGAAAGGCCCUGCUUUUGUGGGGUGCUCGAGUGGCGAGCGGGUGAGUAACACGUGAGUAACCUGCCCUUGACUUUGGGAUAACUUCAGGAAACUGGGGCUAAUACCGGAUAGGAGCUCCUGCUGCAUGGUGGGGGUGGGAAAGUUUCGGUGGUGGGGGAUGGACUCGCGGCUUAUCAGCUUGUUGGGGGGGGAGUUGCUUACCAAGGCUUUGACGGGUAGCCGGCCUGAGAGGGUAACCGGCGACCUUGGGCCUGAGAUACGGCACAGACUCCUACGGGGGGCAGCAGUGGGGAAUCUUGCACAAUGGGCGGAAGCCUGAUGAAGAAACGCUGCGUGCGGGAUGACGGCCUUCGGGUUGUAAACCGCUUUCGCCUGUGACGAAGCGUGAGUGACGGUAAUGGGUAAAGAAGCACCGGCUAACUACGUG